rnacentral:rRNA from 1 species
GUGGGGAAUAUUGGACAAUGGGCGAAAGCCUGAUCCAGCCAUGCCGCGUGUGUGAAGAAGGUCUUCGGAUUGUAAAGCACUUUAAGUUGGGAGGAAGGGCAGUAAGUUAAUACCUUGCUGUUUUGACGUUACCAACAGAAUAAGCACCGGCUAACUUCGUGCCAGCAGCCGCGGUAAUACGAAGGGUGCAAGCGUUAAUCGGAAUUACUGGGCGUAAAGCGCGCGUAGGUGGUUCAGCAAGUUGGAGGUGAAAUCCCCGGGCUCAACCUGGGAACUGCAUCCAAAACUACUGAGCUAGAGUACGGUAGAGGGUAGUGGAAUUUCCUGUGUAGCGGUGAAAUGCGUAGAUAUAGGAAGGAACACCAGUGGCGAAGGCGACUACCUGGACUGAUACUGACACUGAGGUGCGAAAGCGUGGGGAGCAAACAGGAUUAGAUACCCCUGUAGUCC